rnacentral:misc_RNA from 1 species
AAACAAGUGUCACUUCGGCGGCCACCGUAAGAUUUGAGAUUCGAGAAGUCGAGAAAAUAAGAGGUACGCGUUCGCACGUGCGAGUCCUAAGUAUAGCUACUCGAAUCCUCGAGGGAGAGGGUAAAAGAAGAACCAGAGGGACAGGAGGAGGAAAAAUAGAUAGAGGAGAGACGACGAAGACGGGCACACCCGCAAAAUCGAGCGUGCUCGACGCGUUCUCCACGCAGUGGGAAAGAAGACACCGCCGUGUGUGCAGUGGCGUCGCGACGCCGGCGCAGUUUACCGGAUCGAUCCGGCGCGGCGUCUCUCUCUCUUAAACUCGAGUGCGAGCUCGGCUACGUCGAACGGAACGAAAACGGAACGAAAACGGAACGACCAAGUGACAAAAUGUACGACGACGGUAAGAAUAAUCAUACCAAUAACGACGAUGACGAGGAAGAGAAACGUCUCCGGCGUGCGACGUGAUGCGUUCGCGAAGAUCUAACGAGAAAGAGAGAACAUUCGAUUAAGGGUAGUCAACGAGAAAUAGAAAUAGAAAUACAAAUAGAAAGAGAGAGAGAGAGGAAGGAAAGAAUUAAUCACCUCUCUUAGAAGCCAACUUUUCUUCUCGACUCUAACCGGUUAAAAAUAUUUUCGACUCCAUUGGCGUGGAAUUGCGCGAUUGCUGUUCUAGGAAAAGACGAGUAAGAAAUAGACAAAAAAAAAAACUAGAGAGAGACGUUAUACGGUGCAUCGAUCGAUCUUUGGAAAAUUUGUCGGAAAGAUGGAUUAUCGGUGCGCCACCGGCACGAGAUACGACGAUGACGUCCUGGAGAACGAGAAAGGGUUGUUCGGUGCCACUGCGGUAAGGAGAACCGCUCUUUCUAUCGGCAAUGACAAUAAGGGUGCAUCGAAACGUGGCGCUCCGUGCACGCGAGGUACCGCAAUGUCGUUCGGCUUUCGUAGAAGACCCGCCACGGGAAUCCCGGUACCGAUAACAAAUUAUGCAACGGAUCUAACGUUCUUACACCCGAGAUCAAAGUCAGCCGGUCCGGAGCAAACUCGUAGACGAGACGACGAUGUUACUUACCAGGCCGUUCAAAAUUCAUCUUCCGGAAGAUCAACGCCACGGCUGGCACCACCGAAAAAGGAAGCCACCGGGGUAUCGACGAGAACCAAUCGUUUUGGAUACAGGCAAGCGCAGGGCAGAUACACGAACAAAGUCGGCGACAUUUGCAACUGUCACAGCGUUAGCCAUUACAAUCAAGAAAGGCUUCAACAGCAUCAACAGCAACAGCAUCAGCAUCAGCAUCAGCAGCACGAGAGUCACGUUCCUAAACAACAGAACAGAGUUGUACAGGUUUAUAACGUAACUACGGGAUCGAAGCUACGAGCAUCCUCGGCAAACGCGCCGUCAGCGCACAACGGCAGCGGCAGCGGCAGCAACAAUGGCGGUGGUGGCAACAAUAACGUCGCCAACAACGAUACCAAUCGAAGAGUAUCCGGCAUUCCCGAAUCGGUAACCAGAUACACGUUACACGCAAGCCAUCUACCGCUACCCCAAUACGCCGUAAGAAUGAACGAUACCAAUUCGAAAAUCGCAAAGACGGUUGCGAAUCAAAGUAGAAAGAUUUCUACCGGUUCGAAGAGCAGCUCGGCUAGCUCGAAGGAAGGUUCGGGUACGGAGGAUUCCGGGGUUAGCAGUCACCAGAGUUGUCCGGGCGAAAGCGAAAGGAACGAAGGUUACGAUUAUUUGGUGGACGGUUCUACGACGACGACGACGACGACGACGACGACGACGACGGGUUCUACGACGGGUAGAAGGGCAUUCGGUCGCGGUAGAAAUUUAAAAAUGGUAGUCAGUGGAAAGAGUUUCGACGUUCGAGAUGUCGGGGAGGACGACAGCACCGUCACCGAAAUAUCCGUAAUACCGUUGCCAAAGUGCUUCGCGAGCCCUAAUUUAAAUACCGGGCUGGUGCGCGAGAGAGCGACACAGUAUCAAAGAAUCGUUAACAAGGACAACAGGUACACGAGUUCCAUAACAUCGAUGUCGACUACUUCUUCGGAGGGAUACGACGAGGGUUUGGGCGAAGAGAAAGUUUACAAAGACAGGUCUCGCACCGAGAAAAUACCUUCGAUCAAGUCCGACUUUAGUUUGCCCAGCUCGGACGAUCCCGAGUACGGGCACGGGGAAGCGAUGGCGGACGAGUACUCGCUUAGCUCGAGCGACGAGUGUCAACGUUCGCAUUCUAACUCUGCGCAGCACGUAAUUAAGGAGGACGCUGCCAAGAAUGCCGCCAAAAAUGGGAAUCUACCGAAAAGUACUCUCCGUUCCGUCCUUCUGACCAUCGAGGAUCCCGCAUUUGCAGCGGCUGCUGCUACCUCUACCGCCUUGAUAGACGACGAGACCUCGCCGGUCGACAGUCUCUUCGACAGUCCUACGGCCAGUAUCACGCAAUCCGACGACAAAGCGUCCAAGAAGGAAUGCGUCAUGGAACGAUCUGGGAAUACUAUAGACGAUGACAGUCCUGGCACGCCUACCAACGCCUCUAAUUCGCUCAGUUUGUCGGAGGGAAAAGAAUUUUUUGACGACGAAAUCGCCGAUCAGCCUGGAUUAAUAUUCGACGAUAAUUCGGUAGUCGCGGUUGAAACUCAAUCCGUGCCGAUUAAUAAUCAGGUGGUCACGGAAAACAGUCAUACGUUGGUCGAAUCUAUCGCUAAAUCAAAUAUGCAACAACCUGGCAAAAAUUCAGGCAUCAGUCCCUUUCAUGGAAAACGAAUGAGUCGAGCGGGAAGCGUCGAUACCUUAUCGCCUUGCGAAUCGAUCGCUUCGGACGAUUUGAUGUUAGAUUACGAACGCAGCGAUGCGAGUUCCACAGAGGAUACGCAUAAUCGAUUGGAUUCUAAUCCCGCGUUGCACGAACUGGACGAUGCGACCAUACUUUCCGAACUGGAGGCGCAAGGCGAAGAAGUGAUGAGACAAUGGACCUCGUUAUUGGGCACGACUCAACCUACGCAACAGCAAACUUCUAAUUCUAAUACUGUAAACAAUAAUAUCAACAACAGCAUCUCUAACAACAACAAUCACUCCUCUACGGAAUCUGGAAUCAUAAAUGGCAGAAAUUCGAGAUUAUUGCGAAGCAGGUCCGGUGCAGAAUCACCGCGUUCGUUAGACAGCGUUCGUAGUCGUCAAAUACCGAGUCCUCUAAGAACACCGAGAAGUAUUCCAUCUCCCAGUUUCGAUUCGAGCGACGACACGACCAUCAGGAUCGAUCGUGCAACCUUCCAGUACAUGUUUCAAGACAUUGUCUCCCUUAAGACUAUGCUCUUAAAACUAAAACGAGUACUUCAGGAGCCAGAAGCUCUCAACCCAUUCGAUAAUACUGUGAAGAAUGGUCUCUUCUACGCCCUGAGCGAAGGUGGUACAGCGGAUGUCAGCACGUCUCCGGGAAGCGGAGGAAGUAGUAUAGCCGACGAGCUGACGGAUUUACGUAGGCAAGUGGUCUUUUUACAAGGCCAAGUAGAAGAUAAAGAUCGAACUAUACAAAUACUUCAGUUUCAAAUGACAAAAUUAAAAGCUUCUAAUGGCACAGACGUGGAAAAUAAUACGCCGUCGGCAAAUUGUAGUAAAUCUUUGCUCGUGGACAUGUGCAAUGCUGCCACGCAGACCGAAAAGAUACGACCAGUGUCGGCAGGACCUUCGCUUCUGCAAUCACUUCCCCAAGAUAGCACAAUAGGGCCUCUCGUCAGCUUCAGGAUUGGGAAGGUAGAGUGCACCAGUCUAUGUGAUUUAUUAUUGGGAUAUUUACUUCUUUCUGCACUUAAUGCCUUUAUAUUUGUGCAUCUUUUCUAUCGAAAAGAUAUUUAUUUGAUCACAUAGCAAUAAUAUUUCAGUUCAUGCUGCAUGAAGAUCCAAUCUUACUUGCGAUCUACAUAUAUGUAUAUGUACAUUUUUCUUUACGCGUAAUCGAUCAUUUUUUAAUAUUUCAAAAUCAAUAAUAUAUAUAUAUACAGGGUCUAUUUUUAUAUACAGGGUCUAUUUUUUUUCCUUAUCAUUUCUAUCGUCAAAUGCGCGAUUACGGAUGUUACAAAAUUGAUAGAUAAAUUCUUAUUUUUCUAUAAAUACAAUUUUAUUUGAUGUGAAAAUAAUAAGUGCAACUCUCUUAAUUGUUAAAUUAAUGGUAUAAUAACUACAGCAUGUAUUAUAAAUGACACAUACAUUAAAUAUAUGUAUUAGAUAAUUGUUCUUCUAUUUAUAUAUAUUUCGAUUGUAAUGGAUUUACAAUUAAUGAUCUUUCAUGCUGCAACGAAUAGCCUUGCGCGUUGGAGUGAUUCGAGGAAUUGCCAACGUCCCUCAUCGCUAGGAGAGCUUAACCAUUUUAGGAACCUACAUAGAUCGACCGACAAUUCGCAACACAUAUUGAGACAGCGGCAGUCACAAAGUCAAAUUGUUAAAACAAAUAUGCGGAGAAAUAUCAUAAGGAAAUCCCUUGAACAA